AGGCAGCUGUGAGAGAAGUUG
rnacentral:miRNA from 1 species